rnacentral:lncRNA from 1 species
AAUCACAAUCAUGAAUGCUGUAAAUGCUCUGCAGCUGUUCAUUCUGGUUUGGACCUUUACGGCUGUCUGUCAAGAUUAUGAUGAUAUCAUUGUAAGCUGUGAUGAUGUGACUGGUUCUGUGGGGAGAGAAGUAAAUCUCACCUGCAGCGUCUCUCUGCAGAACAUUGAAUGCUGCAUUGUGAGGUAUUUGUUUAAAUACCCUGAGAUCUUUAUUGACUCCACAAUCUGUCAAGAUGUUCCUGUGAACUCCUGUGAACAGAGAAACAGUUUCACAUGCCGCUACACUCCAACUACAGCAAUGAAAGAACAAUUCAGUUUCUUUGUGCAGACAAAAUGUGUAGUGAAAAGAACAGAAUUCACUGUGGACACAUCAGAAAAAUACAUGGGGCAUAAAACUGACAUUGAAGCUCCUGACCAGAAAGGUAUUGGAACUGAGGCCAUCGUCAUCACUGCUGUAAGCUGUUUCAUCAUCAUCAUCAUCAUCGUUACUGCAAUCAUCUGUGUGAAGAAGUUCAAAAGCACCAACCCUUCUGGAUUACAGAAGAAAUAUGAAAGAGGUGUUUCUGAAGAACAAACAGAGAUGACCACAAAUGUUUAG